rnacentral:rRNA from 1 species
GGGGGGGGGGGGGGGGGGGGCGGGGGGGGGGGGGGCGGGGGGGGGGGGGGGGGGGGGGGGGGGGUAGGGGUGGCGGGGGGGGGACGGGGGCGGGGGAGGUGGGAAUCGCCUUUUUGGGGGGGGGUAACGUGGGGGGGCGGCGGCUGCUGGGGGCUACGCCCUGCGGGGGAGGGAGGGGGGGCUUCGGACGUUGCGCGCUGGAGUGAGCCGGUGUCGGGUAAGGUAGGUGGCGGGGUAAAGGCCCACCAAGGCGACGCGCGGUAUCUGGGCUGAGAGGAUGAUCAGCCAACCUGGAACUGAGACACGGUCCAGACCCCUACGGGAGGCAGCAGUUGGGAAUAUUGGACAAUGGGCGCAAGCCUGAUCCAGCCAUACCGCGUGGGUGAAGAAGGCCUUCGGGUUGUAAAGCCCUUUUGUUGGGAAAGAAAAGCAGCAGGUUAAUACCCCGCUGUUCUGACGGUACCCAAAGAACAAGCACCGGCUAACUUCGUG